CCUGGUGGCGAGUGGCGAACGGGUGAGUAAUACAUCGGAACGUGUCCUGUAGUGGGGGAUAGCCCGGCGAAAGCCGGAUUAAUACCGCAUACGCUCUACGGAGGAAAGGGGGGGAUCUUAGGACCUCCCGCUACAGGGGCGGCCGAUGGCAGAUUAGCUAGUUGGUGGGGUAAAGGCCUACCAAGGCGACGAUCUGUAGCUGGUCUGAGAGGACGACCAGCCACACUGGGACUGAGACACGGCCCAGACUCCUACGGGAGGCAGCAGUGGGGAAUUUUGGACAAUGGGGGCAACCCUGAUCCAGCAAUGCCGCGUGUGUGAAGAAGGCCUUCGGGUUGUAAAGCACUUUUGUCCGGAAAGAAAACGCCGUGGUUAAUACCCGUGGCGGAUGACGGUACCGGAAGAAUAAGCACCGGCUAACUACGUGCCAGCAGCCGCGGUAAUACGUAGGGUGCAAGCGUUAAUCGGAAUUACUGGGCGUAAAGCGUGCGCAGGCGGUCCGCUAAGACAGAUGUGAAAUCCCCGGGCUUAACCUGGGAACUGCAUUUGUGACUGGCGGGGCUAGAGUAUGGCAGAGGGGGGUAGAAUUCCACGUGUAGCAUUGAAAUGCGU
rnacentral:rRNA from 1 species